rnacentral:rRNA from 1 species
UAACAAUGAUUUCCCCAGUAACGGCGAGUGAAGAGGAAAGAGCUCAAAGUUGGAACCUGCUUGGCUUAGCCAAGCCGGAUUGUAAACUGUAGAAGUGUUUUCCUGACACGCCAGGCAAAAAAGUCCUUUGGAACAGGGCAUCAUAGAGGGUGAGAAUCCCGUCUUUGGCCUGAGCAGUUGUCUUUUGCGAUACACUUUCAAAGAGUCAGGUUGUUUGGGAAUGCAGCCUAAAUUGGGUGGUAAAUCUCACCUAAAGCUAAAUAUUGGCGAGAGACCGAUAGCGAACAAGUACCGUGAGGGAAAGAUGAAAAGAACUUUGAAAAGAGAGUUAAACAGUAUGUGAAAUUGUUAAAAGGGAACCGUUUGGAGCCAGACUGGCUUGGCUGUAAUCAAUCUGGGCUUUUGCCCGGAUGCACUUGCGGCCUAUGCCUGCCAACGACAGUUUUAUUUGGGGGAAAAAACCAGGCGGAAUGUGCCCACUUAGGGGGUGUUAUAGCCUCUUGGAAAAUACCCUGGAUUGGACUGAGGAUCGCAGCGAAUGCCAUUAGGCGAGAUUGCGGCGUGCUUUCGCUGAUAAAUGCUAGAAUUUCUGCUUCGGGUGGUGCUAGUGUUUAAAGGUGGAACCCGCGCUGUAUAUUUUUUAUUCGCUUAGGUUGUUGGCUUAAUGACUCUAAAUGA